CCCUUAGAUGUUCUGGGCCGCACGCGCGCUACACUGACGGAGGCAGCGAGCGUGUCCUUCGCCGGCAGGUGCGGGCAAUCUUGCGAGUCUCCGUCGUGCUGGGGAUAGAUGGUUGCAAUUGUCGAUCUUGAACGAGGAAUUCCUAGUAAGCGCGAGUCAUCAGCUCGCGCUGAUUACGUCCCUGCCCUUUGUACACACCGCCCGUCGCUACUACAGAGUGCCCGUGUCCAAGAAACGGUCGGACCUGUGCGGCCUCUCCGGGCGACCGGAGGGCCGUUACGGGGAAGACCCUUUAUUUGACGCGGGUCGAUGAAGUAGAAGUCGUAACA
rnacentral:rRNA from 1 species